UACGGAGGGGGCUAGCGUUGUUCGGAAUUACUGGGCGUAAAGCGCACGUAGGCGGCUUUGUAAGUUAGAGGUGAAAGCCCGGAGCUCAACUCCGGAAUUGCCUUUAAGACUGCAUCGCUAGAAUUGUGGAGAGGUGAGUGGAAUUCCGAGUGUAGAGGUGAAAUUCGUAGAUAUUCGGAAGAACACCAGUGGCGAAGGCGACUCACUGGACACAUAUUGACGCUGAGGUGCGAAAGCGUGGGGAGCAACAGG
rnacentral:rRNA from 1 species